rnacentral:rRNA from 1 species
CCUACGGGUGGCAGCAGUGAGGAAUAUUGGUCAAUGGACGAGAGUCUGAACCAGCCAAGUAGCGUGAAGGAUGACUGCCCUAUGGGUUGUAAACUUCUUUUAUAUGGGAAUAAAACGUUCCACGUGUGGGAUUUUGUAUGUACCAUAUGAAUAAGGAUCGGCUAACUCCGUGCCAGCAGCCGCGGUAAUACGGAGGAUCCGAGCGUUAUCCGGAUUUAUUGGGUUUAAAGGGAGCGUAGGUGGAUUGUUAAGUCAGUUGUGAAAGUUUGGGGCUCAACCGUAAAAUUGCAGUUGAAACUGGCAGUCUUGAGUACAGGAGAGGUGGGCGGAAUUCGUGGUGUAGCGGUGAAAUGCUUAGAUAUGACGAAGAACUCCGAUUGCGAAGGCAGUUCACUGGACUGGAACUGACACUGAGGCUCGAAAGUGUGGGUAUCAAACAGGAUUAGAUACCCGAGUAGUC